rnacentral:rRNA from 1 species
CCUACGGGAGGCAGCAGUGGGGAAUCUUCCGCAAUGGGGCCGCGAAAGCCUGACGGAGCAACGCCGCGUGAGUGAAGAAGGCCUUCGGGUCGUAAACCCCUGUUGUCGGGGACGAAUUUAUGUAGCGCUUAUCAACAACGAGUGCUAAUGACGGUACCUGACGAGGAAGCCACGGCUAACUACGUGCCAGCAGCCGCGGUAAU